AUUUACCGUUACUAUUUACCGUUACUUUUUACCGUUACUUUUUACCGUUACUAUUUACCGUUACUUUUUACCGUUACUAUUCACCGUUACUAUUCAUCGAUCAUCCGAUUACCCCAAAUUUCAACUACUCAUCCAUCAUGUUGUCCAGUCCACCUAAGACAAGCCAGACCCAUAUUCCAGUUAUACAAACUCCGGUGACUGUGAUUUUCAUUCCAGUAGGGAACUUCCAAUCUGGUCACCCAUCCUAGGUUUCUCCAAGUUGAGCACGCUUAACUUGAGAUUCCUUCGAACCAGGCUUCCAAACUCCGAUUCCAAUAAUUCUUGUUUCUAAAUUCUUAUCGAAUUAUUUCCUAUCCAACCAUGUCAUCCCUUAAGCAUGGUUCAUGUUCCAGAAAAAUCCCAAAAUACUCUUGUCCCAUAUUCUGCCUAUAACUCUCCUGUUCAUAUUAAGUCAGACGAUUCAUUCGUCACUAUUCUCACCAACAGUGAACUUCGCUGUGCUACACCACAUACACCCAGCUAUAAAUACACCUAGCUACCCUCUCCCUCUCCACACACACGCAACACCCUCAGCCAAGGCAAACACCCCACUCACUCAGUUACUCCGCU
rnacentral:lncRNA from 1 species